CCUACGGGGGGCUGCAGUGGGGAAUAUUGGACAAUGGGCGAAAGCCUGAUCCAGCCAUGCCGCGUGUGUGAAGAAGGCCUUCGGGUUGUAAAGCACUUUCAGUGGGGAAGAAAGCCUUGGGGCUAAUACCCUCGAGGAAGGACAUCACCCACAGAAGAAGCACCGGCUAACUCCGUGCCAGCAGCCGCGGUAAUACGGAGGGUGCGAGCGUUAAUCGGAAUUACUGGGCGUAAAGCGCGCGUAGGCGGUCUGAUAAGCCGGUUGUGAAAGCCCCGGGCUCAACCUGGGAACGGCAUCCGGAACUGUCAGGCUAGAGUGCAGGAGAGGAAGGUAGGAUUCCCGGUGUAGCGGUGAAAUGCGUAGAGAUCGGGAGGAAUACCAGUGGCGAAGGCGGCCUUCUGGACUGACACUGACGCUGAGGUGCGAAAGCGUGGGUAGCAAACAGGAUUAGAUACCCCCAGUAGUC
rnacentral:rRNA from 1 species